GAUGAACGCUGGCGGCGUGCCUAACACAUGCAAGUCGAACGGAAAGGCCCUGCUUUUGGGGGGUGCUCGAGUGGCGAACGGGUGAGUAACACGUGCGUAACCUGUCCUUGAAUUUGGGGGAACGUAAGGAAACUGGGGAUAAUAUCGGAUAGGAGCUCGUGAUCAGUGGUGGGGGAUGGAAAGUUUCGGCGGUGGGGGAUGGACGCGCGGCUUAUGAGCUUGUUGGUGGGGUAGGGGAUUACCCAGGUUUAGACGGGUAGCCGGCGUGAGAGGUUGACCGGCCACAAGGGUACUGAGAGACGGCCCAGACUCCAAUGGGAGGCAGCAGUGGGAAGUAUGACACAAUGGGCGGAAGCCUGAGACGGCAACGCCGCGUUCGGGAUGACGGCCUUCGGGUUGUAAACCGCUUUCGCCUGUGACGAAGCGUGAGUGACGGUAAUGUAUAAAGAAGCACCGGCUAACUACGUG
rnacentral:rRNA from 1 species